rnacentral:rRNA from 1 species
AGAGAUGUGUGAUGACGCAUAUCAAUAAGCGGAGGAAAAGAAACUAACAAGGAUUCCCUUAGUAACGGCGAGUGAAGCGGGAAGAGCUCAAAUUUGAAAUCUUCAAGGUUCUACCUUGACGAAUUGUAGUUUAUAGAAGUGUUUUCUGUUAGUGGAGUGGCAAAAGUUCUUUGGAAUAGGACAUCAUAGAGGGUGAGAAUCCCGUAUUUGGUCAUUCCUCCUAGCGUUGUGAUACACUUUCAACGAGUUGGAUUGUUUGGGAAUGCAGUCCAAAAUGGGUGGUAAAUUUCAUCUAAAGCUAAAUAUUGGCGAGAGACCGAUAGCGAACAAGUACCGUGAGGGAAAGGUGAAAAGAACUUUGAAAAGAGAGUUAAACAGUACGUGAAAUUGUCAAAAGGGAAGCGUUUGACACCAGUGUUGUUUUUCCGAAAAUCAAUUACGAAUGUUUUAUUUUUGAGAAGUUAUGACUUCAUCGGCUUGCUCCUUUCUUUACGAAACUUUCUUAAUGCACUUUUCGGUUAACAAGUCAACAUCAAUUUCUUUUGUUGUAAAAGGGUUACGAGGAAGGUGGCUUUCUUUUCGGAGAAAGUGUUUAUAGCCUUGUAGCCUCUGCAAUCGGAGAGAUUGAGGUCUGCAGCGUAGAUCCUUCGGGGUUAGAUACAUUUGUGCUAAGUUAUAGCCUUUCAUAGACAACUUGUUGACUAUGUUUAGUCUUGUAGCUUACUCGCUUAUGCUAUUUUACCUACGCUUAGGAUGUUGAAGAUGUAGCACAUCAU